UACGGAGGGUGCGAGCGUUGUCCGGAAUUACUGGGCGUAAAGGGCUCGUAGGCGGCCAACUAAGUCGGACGUGAAAUCCCCAGGCUCAACCUGGGAACUGCGUCCGAUACUGGAUGGCUUGAAUCCGGGAGAGGGAUGCAGAAUUCCAGGUGUAGCGGUGAAAUGCGUAGAUAUCUGGAGGAAUACCGGUGGCGAAGGCGGCAUCCUGGACCGGCAUUGACGCUGAGGAGCGAAAGCCAGGGGAGCAAACGGG
rnacentral:rRNA from 1 species